rnacentral:rRNA from 1 species
UACGUAGGGUGCGAGCGUUGUCCGGAAUUAUUGGGCGUAAAGAGCUCGUAGGCGGUCUGUCGCGUCGAAUGUGAAAACCCGGGGCUCAACUCCGGGCUUGCAUUCGAUACGGGCAGGCUAGAGUUCGGUAGGGGAGACUGGAAUUCCUGGUGUAGCGGUGAAAUGCGCAGAUAUCAGGAGGAACACCGGUGGCGAAGGCGGGUCUCUGGGCCGAUACUGACGCUGAGGAGCGAAAGCGUGGGGAGCGAACAGG